UACGGAGGAUCCGAGCGUUAUCCGGAUUUAUUGGGUUUAAAGGGUGCGCAGGCGGGAGAUUAAGUCGGCGGUGAAAUUUUGCAGCUCAACUGUAAAAGUGCCUUCGAUACUGGUUUCCUUGAGUGUGGAUGAAGUAGGCGGAAUUUGUGGUGUAGCGGUGAAAUGCUUAGAUAUCACGAGGAACUCCGAUUGCGCGGGCAGCUUACUAAACCACUACUGACGCUCAGGCACGAAGGCGUGGGGAUCAAACAGGAUUAGAUACCCUGGUAGU
rnacentral:rRNA from 1 species